rnacentral:lncRNA from 1 species
CCGGAGCGUAAUACCCUAUGUCCAAUAUGCGUGGAUUGUAUGCUGGUAUGAGAUGAGAUACCUUCGGGGGCCGCCCUUAGCCUUCUUAUAUAGGCUGACAACCAAGAGUUACAAGUCAGUUUGAAUCUAAUCUACUCGGUAGUUACAUAGAAAGUAAUUUGAGUUGGACUACAAAACGUGUUCCAUGUUAUCCGGGCAGAUUUGCACUGUCUUGUUGCCUUAACGUGCACUCCAAG